UACGUAGGGCGCAAGCGUUGUCCGGAAUUAUUGGGCGUAAAGAGCUCGUAGGCGGUCUGUUACGUCCGCUGUGAAAACCCAGGGCUUAACCCUGGGCUUGCAGUGGAUACGGGUAGACUAGAGGCAGGUAGGGGAGAAUGGAAUUCCCGGUGUAGCGGUGAAAUGCGUUGAUAUCGGAAGGAACUCCGGCGGCGAAAGCGAUGCACUGGCUGGUUUCUGACGCUGAGGUGCGAAAGCCAGGGGAGCAAACGGG
rnacentral:rRNA from 1 species